AGGACGAACGCUGGCGGCGUGCUUAACACAUGCAAGUCGAACGGUAAGGCCCCUUCGGGGGUACACGAGUGGCGAACGGGUGAGUAACACGUGGGUAAUCUGCCCUGCACUUCGGGAUAAGCCUGGGAAACUGGGUCUAAUACCGGAUAUGAACUCCUGCCGCAUGGUGGGGGUUGGAAAGUUUUUCGGNGCAGGAUGAGCCCGCGGCCUAUCAG
rnacentral:rRNA from 1 species